UUCCAGAAAAUUCAGCCAUCAAAGGGAUCUUAAAUCCCACUUAAAAUUGAGGAAGUUGAGCGAAUUUCAAGCUACGGAAUACCAAUCGAAGUUCGGACGAUUUGUAGUCGCGAUUAUCAUUCCGUUUUGGUGUUGGAGGAGCUUGGGAACAAGUAAAAAUUGAAGAUCUUGUUACUUUGGUAAAAAAAAAAAGAUUACGAGGCUACGAAUAAUCUUCAGUGGAUUGCAAGACAAGAAGUAAGUUGGAAGUCGAGAAAUUAUCCUUCAGGUGUAUACAGAUGAGUAGAGGAUAUUGCUAGAAGAUGUUCCAGCGGGAUUGGCGAACUCCAUUUCUUUUCGGAGUGUUGCCGAGUCAGAGUAUGUGUGUUAUGGGAUAUUGAUUUAUGUUAGAGACUUUGCAGACAGAGUCAUGUAUACAGUAUGCCCGUCUUGUAAGCAGCUAUUUAAGCCGAUGUAUCAUUAUGCAUUACUUUACAGAUUCAUAUGAUUACAAAUUUUAUUUGA